GGAAGAACUGCUCCGUGAUAUAGUGUAUAGGUGCUUUGCCUGAAUGUACAUCUGUGUACCUCUGUGUACCAGGUAUGUGCAGGGGCUGUGAAGGCAAGAAGAAGACAUUGGAACCCCUGGACUGGAACUAUAGACCAUCGUGAGCCACUGUGAGAAUUGAGCUAUCUUCUGGAAGAGCAAUCAGCACACUCAACUGCUGAGCCAUCUCUUCAGCCCUGACAGAAUUCUUAAACCCGAUAAACACUUUUAACGAAGUACCAAGGUAUAAACUCAACACACGAAAAUCAGUGGCUUCCUUAUCUGCCAGUCACAAACUAAGAAAGAAAUCUGAGGUGAAAAAUCACAUAACUAUGUACCUCAUAGCCCUAGGAGCAAUCCAAACCCAGGACCUUCAAAAGAAAAAAAUAUCUAGAAAAAUCUAACUGAGGAGGUGAAAGACCUCUACAGUAAAGCCUUUAAGACACUGAAGAAAGACAUUGAAUAAAAC
rnacentral:lncRNA from 1 species